rnacentral:snRNA from 1 species
GUCACUUAUGCAGCACAUACUAAAGUUGGAACAAUAUAGAGAUUAACAUGGCCCCUGCACAAGGAUGGUAGCAAAUUUGUGAAGCAUUCUAUUAAAAA